rnacentral:tRNA from 1 species
UCCCUGCUGGCUUAGAUGGUAGAGUGUCUGCCUGCAGUGUGGGAGUCCUAGGUUCGAUCCCUGGGUCGGGAA